CCCUCUUCCUGACUCCGCCAGGGCUCUUCCUAUCUGAGGCCACCAGGUUGCCUAAGGAGGGGUGAACCGGCCCAGGUCGGAGACGGAGCAGGUCAAAGCUCCCAUGCUGACCAGCAGUGGGAUUGCGCCUGUGAAUAGACACUGCACUCCAGCCCGGGCA